CAGACGGCUCACUGGAGGGAACGUUACAGGAAACUGUAGACUCAAAAUCAACGAGCAGUUCUACUUCUAUGAUUGGGUCACCCCUAUCUCAGACAUCCACUCAAGUAAAAAGAUGUCCCGCAAAGCACACAACACCUGAAAAUGUUGUGAAGUUAUCCUUCCCCGAAUAUGUAUUGCACACUGACACCAAACUAGAGCAAUGCCGAAAACAAUAUUUUGAGUUGGCGAAGGCCGGCGAAGAGAGAAACUGCCAAAUGUCAAAGGACCUCAGAUGUCGGCUCAUCCGAAACACCAUGACCAGUAUGAUCGCAAUCCUGAGGGCAACGGGGGACAGAGACAGAUACCCGUCAAAGCCAGAAAUAACAGCUAUGGCAAAGCGAACAGUGCUGUACUACCCCAUGCUGCAGGGCCGAGACCUGAGCAGCAAGUAUGCAUGGGUAGGUCAAAUGCAUCCAGGUGCAUGUUUGAUGUUUGAAGCAUUUAUUUGAAUUUUUCUUGUCACAGGUUACUGUGUACUCACAGCUAUACAAAAGAUUGAAAAAUUUGAGAUCACCCCAAAAGACCAAUCCAAAGAGGCGCCGACUCGAGGAGCUAAAGUGCCAACCUGACUGACCCAGAUGAAUUUGAUUCAAGUGACUCAACAGUCAUUCUGGAUCUCCCCUCAAAAGGGGGUAGCAUUCAAGCAUUCAAGACUUCCCUUCUGAAGGGAGUAGCACCCCAGACUCGGGCAACAAUGCCAGAUAUGCCCGCAUCUUUGCGUAAGAAGAAAACUCCAAACCGUGAGUCCGUCUCUCAGCUCCUGGGUUUGGAAUUUUCAGCCAGAAGAGCAUUCAUUGAUUCUUUUUGCGAGGAGGACAGACACAAGAAAAUUCCAGAGGACAUUGGACAUGUGAUGGAGGAGCUUCAACGCAUUCUGGACAAAAAUAACAUCCAUUACAUUGAUGAGCUGAAGGGAAGAUGGGACGACUUCUGCCAGAAGGUGCAGUUUUUUGGUGUGUGGAAAAAGCUGCUGAAACCCUCAGUAGGAAUGGACAAAGAAGUUAGGACAUGUGAGUGAGGCUCUUGUGCAUGUCCUCAAGGAAAAAGAAGACCCCAAUGACUAUUUGAAGAAACGUCGUCUCUCCUGCCCAGUCCUUAUUGUGAGUUUGUCCAACUGCCUCCUGGCUGUAGGAGAUGUGCUGAUAACUACGCUCCCAAAAGACAAGGUAACACAGGGUGUUUUAUACCUUACGGCCUACUAUUAUGCUCUACACCUUACUUACCCCAGGUGCGUAGCCACUCUGCUCUCUGUCAUAAAAACGGAGGUUCUCUUGGACACAAUCCAUGAGCGAGACCUCACACCAUCUUUCAAGAAGGGCAUGGCUGACUGGAAAGCUUUUGUUGGCAAGUAAAGCCGUUUCCAUUCUUAUUUAGCAAAUGUUUCCCAAUGUUAAGGUCGCAAUAAUAACAAUGUUGUUGAUCUAUUGAGGGACACAGUGGUCAAAUAUUUAUGUUAAUGUUAGCCCAAGACCCAUAACUUGUUGCAAUAAUAAGCACAUUGUAAGUGUAUUGAGGAGACAGAGGUCAGAUGAUUAUGUCUGACUGUAAUCCAUGUGUUACACAUAUAUGUCAUGUUUUGCUAUGUUUUUUUACUAUUAUUAGUAUUUUAUUACAGUGCCAUACACACUGCGCCAAAACAUGACUGGUGCUGCAGGCACAGUGUAACUGACUGACUGCACUGUAUUGUAAGAAUUGUUUGCUCCCUCCUGCAUUUCAGAGCUAAAGAGGCAUGCUCUUUCUUAUGCAAAUAAAAUAUUUGUUUGUUUAAUGCACAACUUGUUUUCAU
ensembl:lncRNA